rnacentral:rRNA from 1 species
GGCGCACGGGUGAGUAACACGUGGGAACAUACCUCAUAGUACGGAAUAACUGCGGGAAACUGUAGCUAAUACCGUAUAUUCCAGAAAUGGGAAAGAUUUAUCGCUAUGAGAUUGGCCCGCGCAAGAUUAGCUUGUUGGUAAGGUAACGGCUUACCAAGGCUCCGAUCUUUAGCUGGUUUGAGAGGAUGAUCAGCCACACUGGGACUGAGACACGGCCCAGACUCCUACGGGAGGCAGCAGUAGGGAAUAUUGGACAAUGGGGGAAACCCUGAUCCAGCAAUGCAGCGUGAGUGACGAAGGCCUUAGGGUUGUAAAACUCUUUCAUCGGUGAGGAUAAUGACAGUAGCCGAAGAAGAAGGACCGGCUAAUUCCGUGCCUGCAGCCGCGGUAAUACGGAAGGUCCUAGCGUUGUUCGGAAUUACUGGGCGUAAAGCGCAUGUUUGCGGAACAAAAAGUUAGAAGUGAAAUCCCUGGGCUCAACCUAGGAAUUGCUUUUAAAACUUUUUGUUCUGGAA